UACGAAGGGAGCUAGCGUUGUUCGGAAUCACUGGGCGUAAAGCGCACGUAGGCGGAUGUGUCAGUCAGGGGUGAAAUCCCGGAGCUCAACUUCGGAACUGCCCUUGAUACAGCACGUCUUGAGUCCGGAAGAGGUGGGUGGAAUUCCUAGUGUAGAGGUGAAAUUCGUAGAUAUUAGGAAGAACACCGGUGGCGAAGGCGGCGACCUGGUCCGAUACUGACGCUGAGGCGCGAAAGCGUGGGGAGCAAACAGG
rnacentral:rRNA from 1 species